UGUUAUUUCAAUAUGUAACUACUUCUUUCUUCUCCAUAUAGUCACUCUUUCCCAAUCUGCCCAGAUCUCAAAUCUAGAUCAUCCUAUCUAUCUAGUCACAUUGUUCUGGUUUGUAGCUCAUUAUUCAUUAACUCUACAACCACAUAUAUAUGUACAGUCAUUUAAACUGAGUGUAGAGAAAACAGCACAAUUAAAAGUAAGCCACCCUAGAAGACAUGUAUAAUGGAGUAUGAAACAGUACUUCAAACAAGAAGUUAAAUCAGCUAAGCAUAAUAUUUACAUGAUGUGUAGAGACUGAAAGGCACACUGUAAGCCUAAGAAUUCACCAAGCUUUUUUUCUUUUUUUUGCAUUUUAUUGCCCCAUUUAUAAAUUGAGCAGUUAAGCUACGUGACUUUUUUAGUCUUUUUGCUUCGUAUUUCUCUUAUUAUUUAAUGCAGAAGUUAGUUGCUCUACAGUCUCCUGAUGAAUUAAUGAAUGAGAAGAGGCAAGAAACUUUGGAGUCCAAAUGAUCAGAAUUCUAGCUAACUGUUAGACAUAGCUGCAUUCUAAAGCAGAGUAGUCUAUUUUAUUUCUUACUCUGGUUGUCACAAUCAGGAUUCAGGCUUGGGAGAGCAACUCUUUUAUUCACAAUUAAAUUAAGUUGUCAUUGAUACAGAUGGAGAAGAACUCAAAGAAACAAAAUCCUAAGGAUAUGUGUGUUGAUAUAAACUCUGCACUGUCCUGGACAAGGGUGGCUCUGAAUAGAUCAUCAAAACUAAUAAAAUGCCAAGUUUCCUAGUGACUGUCUAAAUAACUUGCAUGAUGAUACCUUAAGAAGAGGAAUGUUACAAUAUAACGUACCCCAUAUCCUGAAAUGAACUCUAUUCAAUUAUCUCUAGUGCUGGGGGAAGGGUGAAGGGGUUGAUUUUCUGUGUUGAGUAAGUUGACCAAACUCCAGUUGACAAGUUAAGACUUUAAAAAUUGGAGGUUGCAGGAGAAAUUUUAUAAAACAAUGGUGUGGGCUUACCUUAUGUACCUCAAACACCCCAUUCACAAAACUUCCUUUAGUUUGUGAGCAAAGCUGAUUGAUUUUAGGAGUUACGCUGGCACUUCUAAUCAAUCCUUUUGGGAUCUCCAUGUUUCGGUCAGCAUUCACAUCAGCCACAAGUGUGAAAGGAUAUACCUCCAGGAACCCAUUGCGGCAAACAUAAUUUGCUAUGGCAAUGAUCUUCUUUGGGGUGAACUUCUCCUUUAGGUCAAUAUUAAAAACCUUCACUCGGAAGACUUCAUUCUCAGUUGCCACUGUGGCAUGAAACAUUUUCUUCUGCUCUUUGGGCUCAUAUACAAAUGAUUCUGUUGCGUUCAGCACCAUCACUUCUUUGAGGUCACUCUGGGCACUGUCUUCUAUGGAAACUUCUUCAGGUUCAGUCUUCAGUCUUGGUUUCAACUUAGAAGGUAGAGACCAAAACAUAGGCACAAUUAAAACAGGAAAAACAGGGUCAUUCUCUAGUGAGAGUCAUCUCAGCCUCAGUGUUGGUCCUCAAGUAUCACCUUAACUGGGUAAAGUAGGGAAAACUAGACAAAGAUCACUGAGAUAGUAUGAUUUAGGUAACGGAAGAAAUGAAAAAGAUGUAAGGAGUAAUUUUAUUAUCUUCAUUGUUUUAUGAGAGUGGAAGGAAGAAUAUUUCUUUUUUAAUGAGAAUUAACCCAUAAAGAAAAGGCAUAUCCCCUAUCAAGAGGUAUGGGGAAGCAGAGGGUAAAGGCAAAGCUGCCAUGAAGUGACUCCCAAAAGAGAUGAGAUUUUAGAAGAAUCUCAGUUUUACUCCUUUCUACCCAGGUCAGGUCAUAUUGAGCACU
rnacentral:lncRNA from 1 species